CAAGUAAAUUGCCUUAUCGCUGUCUUGAUGUAAAGUCAAGGUGGAGGAAAGUCCGAACACCAUAGUGCAAACAUAGUGGUUAACAGCCACCAACCGUGAGGUUAGGAAAAGUGCAACAGAAAGAAUGUACAGGUUAUGCUGUAGUGAAAUCAGGUAAACUCUAUGUGGUGCAAUGCCAUGUAUACCAACGUUUGAGGGCUGCACGCUCGAUUGUUGGAGGGUAGGCAGCUAAAGUGUGUUGGUAACAGUACACUCAGAUAAAUGAUAGGGAUACUAACAUGAUUAUCAUUGUUAGUAACAGAAUUCGGCUUAUAAAUUUACUUAUAUA
rnacentral:RNase_P_RNA from 3 species